UGGGGAGUAUUGGACAAUGGGCGAAAGCCUGAUCCAGCAAUGCCGCGUGAGUGAUGAAGGCCUUAGGGUUGUAAAGCUCUUUCGGCGGGGACGAUGAUGACGGUACCCGCAGAAGAAGCCCCGGCUAACUUCGUGCCAGCAGCCGCGGUAAUACGAAGGGGGCUAGCGUUGUUCGGAAUUACUGGGCGUAAAGGGCGCGUAGGCGGCGAUUCAAGUCAGGCGUGAAAGCCCCGGGCUCAACCUGGGAAUUGCGUUUGAUACUGACUUGCUUGAGUUCGGGAGAGGAGAGUGGAAUUCCCAGUGUAGAGGUGAAAUUCGUAGAUAUUGGGAAGAACACCGGUGGCGAAGGCGGCUCUCUGGACCGAUACUGACGCUGAGGCGCGAAAGCGUGGGGAGCAAACAGGAUUAGAUACCCCCGUAGUCC
rnacentral:rRNA from 1 species